CCUACGGGAGGCAGCAGUGAGGAAUAUUGGUCAAUGGACGAGAGUCUGAACCAGCCAAGUAGCGUGAAGGAUGACUGCCCUAUGGGUUGUAAACUUCUUUUAUAAAGGAAUAAAACGAGGCACGUGUGCCUUUUUGCAUGUACUUUAUGAAUAAGGAUCGGCUAACUCCGGGCCAGCAGCCGCGGUAAUACGGAGGAUCCGAGCGUUAUCCGGAUUUAUUGGGUUUAAAGGGAGCGUAGAUGGGUUGUUAAGUCAGUUGUGAAAGUUUGCGGCUCAACCGUAAAAUUGCAAUUGAUACUGGCAGUCGUGAGUACAGUUGAGGUAGGCGGAAUUCGUGGUGUAGCGGUGAAAUGCUUAGAUAUCACGAAGAACCCCGAUUGCGAAGGCAGCUUACUAAACUGUGACUGACAUUGAUGCUCGAAAGUGUGGGUAUCAAACAGGAUUAGAUACCCGAGUAGUC
rnacentral:rRNA from 1 species